rnacentral:rRNA from 1 species
GACGAACGCUGGCGGCGUGCCUAAUACAUGCAAGUCGAGCGAAGCGGGGACGGGUGAGUAACACGUGGAUAACCUCCUAUAAGACUGGGAUAACUUCGGGAAACCUUCGCUAAACCGGAUACUUAUCGAUGGAUCCGAGCUGCAUUAGCUAGUUGGUAAGGUAACGGCUUACCAAGGCAACGAUGCAUAGCCGACCUGAGAGGGUGAUCGGCCACACUGGAACUGAGACAAGGUCCAGACUCAUACGGGAGGCAGCAGUAGGGAAUCUUCCGCAAUGGGCGAAAGCCUGACGGAGCAACGCCGCGUGAGUGAUGAAGGUCUUCGGAGCGUAAAACUCUGUGAUUAGGGAAGCGGUACCUAAUCAGAAAGACUAGGCUAACUACGUGCCAGCCGCCGCGGUAAUUC